rnacentral:tRNA from 1 species
GCCCGGGUGGUGAAAUUGGUAGACACAGCAGACUUAAAAUCUGCCGACCUAACAGUCGUCCCGGUUCGAUUCCGGGUCCGGGCACCA